rnacentral:tmRNA from 1 species
GCCCUUGCAAGAGCGCCGGGCGGGCCCUAGAUUAGCAAUGUCCCGCAAGGGGCUAUGGUGAUAAACGCGCACGGAAUAAGCGGAUCGGACCCGGGGGCGGUACCCGGCGGCUCCACCAGACAUCCCUCGUUGGGGGCGAAUGGGGCCGAAACAGGAUCGACGGACGUGUAAAGGUGUUUGCUUUCACUCGGCAGGAUGCCACCGUUAUCGGCUCAAAGCGUAUAGUUGCCAACGACAACCACGCUCCGGUGGCCGUUGCCGCGUAAGCGGUAGCCAAACCGAAAUCCAAGCCCAGUCCUCUAGCAAGGGCUGGCGGGGUUCGCAGGCACCUGGCAACAGAAGCCUGCACU